GCCAAAUGUCCUGUUCCUGGUCUAGUACCACAUGUGGGGUGCAAGAUACCAAGAAGUCAGCAGUUGGCUUGUGGUCCACCUAAUGUUGAUCCACAACGGUGUGUGGCCAAUGGAUGUUGUGUGGAUGCAAGAACUUCCCAUUGUUACUAUCCUUUGGAUGCGUGCACUGCAGAUGGGCAUUUUGUAUUCUCCGUAUACCGCACCUCAACCAAGCCAGAAAUUGAUCCGAGCAGUCUAGUAAUUGCAGGAAACCAUUCAUGUGUCCCUGUAAUCUGCACUCCAGACUUUGCGGUCUUCAAAUUUCCUGUGACUGGCUGUGGGACACGUGUCUUUACUGUGGCGGAGACUACAAUCUAUCUUGCUGAAG